CCCGUGCUACAACCGCUCGGAGUAAGGUUAUUAAGUGAUGUUCUUACAUACACCUAGUUCUGGCGAGUCUGAGUUUAUAG
rfam:Bacillus weihaiensis strain Alg07 chromosome, complete genome.